GAGCACAGAGCAGCCCUGCCCUCUGUCCACCUGCCUGGAGCCCUUGACCAUGGCGGCCCUGGCAGCCACAAUAUCCAAGCGCCGUGCUGCGGCCGAGGGUCUUGGCUCCAACCAGAAAGCCGUGAAGUACUUGGGCCAGGACUUCGAGACCCUGAGGCAGCAGUGCUUGGACUCAGGGGUCCUAUUUAAGGACCCAGAGUUCCCAGCAUGCCCAUCAGCCUUGGGCUACAAGGACCUCGGACCACACUCCCCCCAAACUCAAGGCAUCGUCUGGAAGCGGCCCACGGAAUUGUGUCCCAGCCCUCAGUUUAUCAUUGGCGGAGCCACACGCACAGACGUCUGUCAGGGUGCUUUAUUUUGGCAGUACGGCGAGUGGGUGGAGGUGGUCGUGGACGACAGGCUGCCCACCAGGGCCGGGGAGCUGCUCUUCCUGCACUCCGGAGAGGGCCGUGAGUUCUGGAGUGCGCUGCUGGAGAAGGCCUACGCCAAGCUCAACGGCUCUUACGAGGCUCUCGCUGGAGGGUCCACAGUGGAGGGGUUUGAGGAUUUCACAGGUGGCAUCUCUGAGUUUUAUGACCUGAAGAAGCCGCCGGCCAGUUUGUAUCAGAUCGUCCGCAAGGCCCUCCGUGCGGGGUCUCUGCUGGCCUGCUCCAUUGAUGUCUCCAGUGCAGCUGAAGCAGAAGCCAUCACUAGCCAGAAGCUGGUUAAGAGUCACGCCUACUCCAUCACUGGAGCGGAAGAGGUGGAUUUCCGGGGCCAUCGGGAGAAGCUGAUCCGACUCAGGAACCCCUGGGGCCAAGUGGAGUGGACGGGGGCCUGGAGCGACAAGAUGUCUUUUUCGGAUUUCUUGAAGCAGUUCUCUCGACUGGAGAUCUGCAACCUCUCCCCCGACUCCCUGAGCAGCGAGGAGGUGCAGAAGUGGAAUCUGGUUCUGUUCAAUGGGCGCUGGACGCGGGGCUCCACGGCUGGCGGCUGCCAGAACUACCCAGCCACUUACUGGACCAAUCCGCAGUUCAAAAUCCAUCUGGACGAGGUGGAUGACCACCAGGAGGAGGGCAUUGCUGAAGCCUGCUGCACGGUGCUGCUGGGGCUGAUGCAGAAGAACCGUAGGCGACAGAAGAGGAUGGGACAGGGCCUGCUCAGCAUCGGCUAUGCUGUCUACCAGGUCCCCAAAGAGCUGGAGAGUCCCACGGACGCGCACCUGGGCCGGGACUUCUUCCUGGGCCGCCAGCCCUCCGCCCGCUCCAGCACCUACGUCAACCUGCGCGAGGUCUCCGCGCGCCUGCGCCUGCCGCCGGGGGCGUACGUGGUCGUGCCGUCCACCUUCGAGCCCUUCCGGGACGGCGACUUUUGCCUGCGGGUGUUCUCCGAGAAGAAGGCCGAGGCCCUGGAAAUUGGGGAUGUGGUAGCUGGAAACCCACAUGAGCCACACCCCAGCGAGGUGGCUCAAGAAGACGGUCCGCUCCAGAGCCUGUUUGAGAAGCUUGCAGGGAAGGAUUCUGAGCUUGGUGCCAAUGAACUCAAGAUGGCUCUGAAUGAGGUGUUUUCCAAGCGAUCUGACAUAAAAUUCAACGGCUUCGACAUCAACACUUGCAGGGAGAUGAUCAGCCUGAUGGAUAGCAAUGGGACAGGCACCUUGGGGCUGGUGGAAUUCAAGACGCUCUGGUGGAAGAUUGAGAAGUAUCUGGAGAUCUACCGGGAAACCGAUGCUAAGCACUUGGGGACCAUCGAUGCCCAUGAGAUGAGGGCGGCCCUCCAGAAGGCAGGUUUCACCCUCAACAACCAGGUACAGCAGACCAUCGUCACGCGGUAUGCAUGCAGCAAACUGGGCAUCGACUUUGACGGCUUCCUCGCUUGUAUGAUCCGCCUGGAGACCCUCUUCAAAAUCUUCAGCCUUCUGGACAAGGACCAGAACGGCAUCGUCCGGCUCUCUCUGGCUGAGUGGCUGUGCUGUGUGCUGGUCUGACCCAGGGUUUUGGACCUCAUCGGUGACGCUCCGUGCCCACCUGCCUGCCUCUUUUC
rnacentral:lncRNA from 1 species